GACGAACGCUGGCGGCGUGCUUAACACAUGCAAGUCGUACGGUAAGGCCCUUUCGGGGGUACACGAGUGGCGAACGGGUGAGUAACACGUGAGUAACCUGCCCACAACUUUGGGAUAACGCUAGGAAACUGGUGCUAAUACUGGAUAUGUGCUCCUGCUGCAUGGGGGGGGUUGGAAAGCUCCGGCGGUUGUGGAUGGACUCGCGGCCUAUCAGCUUGUUGGUGGGGUAGUGGCCUACCAAGGCGGCGACGGGUAGCCGGCCUGAGAGGGUGACCGGCCACAUUGGGACUGAGAUACGGCCCAGACUCCUACGGGAGGCAGCAGUGGGGAAUAUUGCACAAUGGGCGCAAGCCUGAUGCAGCAACGCCGCGUGCGGGAUGACGGCCUUCGGGUUGUAAACCGCUUUCAGCAGGGACGAAGCUUUUUGUGACGGUACCUGCAGAAGAAGCACCGGCUAACUACGUG
rnacentral:rRNA from 1 species